UACGAAGGGGGCUAGCGUUGCUCGGAAUUACUGGGCGUAAAGGGUAGGUAGGUGGUCUCAUUUGUCUGGGGUGAAAGCCUUGAGCUUAACUCAAGAAGUGCCCCGGAAACGGUGAGACUGGAGUCCUGGAGAGGGUCGUGGAAUUCCCGGUGUAGCGGUGAAAUGCGUAGAGAUCGGGAGGAACACCAGAGGCGAAGGCGGCGACCUGGACAGGCACUGACACUCAACUACGAAAGCGUGGGGAGCAAACAGG
rnacentral:rRNA from 1 species